rnacentral:rRNA from 1 species
UGGGGAAUAUUGGACAAUGGGCGAAAGCCUGAUCCAGCCAUGCCGCGUGUGUGAAGAAGGUCUUCGGAUUGUAAAGCACUUUAAGUUGGGAGGAAGGGCAGUAAGCGAAUACCUUGCUGUUUUGACGUUACCGACAGAAUAAGCACCGGCUAACUCUGUGCCAGCAGCCGCGGUAAUACAGAGGGUGCAAGCGUUAAUCGGAAUUACUGGGCGUAAAGCGCGCGUAGGUGGUUCGUUAAGUUGAAUGUGAAAGCCCCGGGCUCAACCUGGGAAAGGGAUCCAAAACUGGAGAGCUAGAGUAGGGCAGAGGGUGGUGGAAUUUCAUGUGUAGCGGUGAAAUGCGUAGAUAUAGGAAGGAACACCAGUGGCGAAGGCGACCACCUGGGCUCAUACUGACACUGAGGUGCGAAAGCGUGGGGAGCAAACAGG